rnacentral:tRNA from 16 species
GGGCGCAUAGCUCAGCGGGAGAGCACACCCUUCACACGGGUGGGGUCGUAGGUUCAAUCCCUACUGCGCCCACCA